rnacentral:pre_miRNA from 1 species
CAAAUACUCCCUCCAUCCGGAAAUACUUGUCAUAAAAAUGGAUAAAAGGAAAUGUAUCUAGACGUAUUUUAGUUUUAGAUACAUCUCUUUUUAUCCAUUUUGAUGAUAAGUAUUUUCGGAUGGAGGGAGUAUUUA